GACGAACGCUGGCGGCGUGCUUAACACAUGCAAGUCGAACGGAAAGGCCCCUUUGGGGGUACUCGAGUGGCGAACGGGUGAGUAACACGUGAGUAACCUGCCCUUGACUUCGGGAUAACUUCAGGAAACUGGGGCUAAUACCGGAUAGGAAUCCUUGCUGCAUGGUGGGGGUUGGAAAGCUUCGGCGGUUUUGGAUGGACUCGCGGCUUAUCAGCUUGUUGGUGGAGUAGUGGCUUACCAAGGCUUUGACGGGUAGCCGGCCUGAGAGGGCGACCGGCCACCUUGGGACUGAGAUACGGCCCAGACUCCUACGGGGGGCAGCAGUGGGGAAUAUUGCACAAUGGGCGGAAGCCUGAUGCAGCAACGCCGCGUGCGGGAUGACGGCCUUCGGGUUGUAAACCGCUUUCAGCAGGGGCGAAGCUUGUGGUGACGGUACCUGCAGAAGAAGCACCGGCUAACUACGUG
rnacentral:rRNA from 1 species